rnacentral:rRNA from 1 species
ACACAUGCCAGUCGAGCGGAGUAUGGAGGAAGUGCUUGCACGGAGACCAUACUUAGCGGCGGACGGGUGAGUAACACGUGAGCAACUUGCCUUCUUCUGGGGGAUAACACCGGGAAACUGGUGCUAAUACCGCAUAACGUCCCGACACCGCAUGGUGACGGGACCAAAGGAGCAAUCCGGGAGAAGAUGGGCUCGCGGCCGAUUAGAUAGUUGGCGGGGUAACGACCCACCAAGUCGACGAUCGGUAGCCGGACUGAGAGGUCGAACGGCCACAUUGGGACUGAGACACGGCCCAGACUCCUACGGGAGGCAGCAGUGGGGAAUAUUGGGCAAUGGGCGAAAGCCUGACCCAGCAACGCCGCGUGAAGGAAGAAGGCCUUCGGGUUGUAAACUUCUUUGAUCGGGGACGAACGAAAUGACGGUACCCGAGGAACAAGCCACGGUUAACUACGUG